GUAGUGUCCUUUGUUGAAGCAAAGGUGGCACAGGUAGUUGGGCGGCGGCCGUUUGCUGUGCUUGUGUGUCUCGGGGGACAGGGAGAGGUCUGAGAAAUGGUCCGCCAGCGAGCUCAGGCCAUCCACGAUAUUGUUGAGGGACCCGUAGGGCGACGAGCUCUUGUAGAAAUUGUUGUUCAAGGCCUGUCCGAGAAAAACAUAGACCAAGAUGAUACAUCAGUGGCAAUGGAGCCGUGUGGACGUAAAGGUUGAAAUAUACGGUGGAUAUACAUGAAAGCAGGGCCACAUCUGACCAUUAGUCUAAUAACCAUUAAAACAAUUUUCCAAAGACCAAAGUGAUGUCCACAAAUAGGACACAGAAGAACAUUGUUGUGGCUCGACGAUGAAAGAGCAUUUCAGCCAGCAUGUCAGUCCAUCACCCUGAUGGAUUCUCCUGUUUGUCUCUCUGACAGUGGCCGACUUUAUUUCAUUUCUGCAGAUGUGCUGCCUUUAGCGCAUUCACUCUGUGCGCCCAAUGGUGUCCAUUUCCUCGUCAGAACAAAAUGUCUUUGUCGCGUAUUAUUCCGACUGGUCCUAUUGGCACAACACAAUCAGCAUCAUUGUGUCUCUGGAGGAGACGGUGCUAUGGCACCGCAGGGCAAGCAUGAAGAACAGUCUGCAGACACUGGCUGUUUACUCUGGAGGCAUCACAGAAAGAGAAUUGUGAUCAGAUGCACUUGUACAGUGCAGUGUACAUGUUCUACAUGAGACAUCAACCCACUGCAUAUCUGUGGCAUGUGUGCAGUUACAGAGUCAGUAUUAAGCAACACCAGGUCCCACUGACUGAGGGCUGCUUACAUCCCGGACCGAGCAGAGGCCAGCCAGGGUGAACCCCUCACACUUUUAGAACCUUGUGAGAGGUUUAAAAGCUUCAUCUUGUUUUUUUCCUCAACCUGCCAUUCCUCCACCAGCUGCACACUGACACCAGAAAACAGUCUGAACACACUCAGGCAGUAUACCAGGGUACAAAACACAUAUUCAUAUGCUAACCACUCACCACAGUGCGACCCAAUGAAGGCAUGCAGGUGAGGUUUACUGUAUGGGCUACAAAAAUAACCCCGAGUGAAAUAUGAGGGUAUGGUAUUCAUGGACACCCUUGGAGGAAUGAAUGAUAUGCAGCAAAAAAAAAUAAAAAAUCAACAACAACAGUGGAUGUAAGUUUCAACAAAGCAUGCAUGUGGAAAACUGUCAAAGUGCCAUGCAAAGUGACUUCUACCUCACUCCUCAGAUGGAAGAAGUUGUUGAGAUAGUUGGAGCUCAGAUCCGCUGCGCUGCGCUUGGAGUUGCUCAUGUCCCGGGGGGAGGUGUCCGA